UACGUAGGGUGCAGGCGUUAAUCGGAAUUACUGGGCGUAAAGCGUGCGCAGGCGGUUUGCUAAGUCAGAUGUGAAAGCCCCGGGCUCAACCUGGGAACUGCAUUUGAAACUGGCGGGCUUGAGUGUGGCAGAGGGGGGUGGAAUUCCGCGUGUAGCAGUGAAAUGCGUAGAGAUGCGGAGGAACACCGAUGGCGAAGGCAGCCCCCUGGGCCAACACUGACGCUCAGGCACGAAAGCGUGGGGAGCAAACAGG
rnacentral:rRNA from 1 species